rnacentral:rRNA from 1 species
GCCUGAUGCAGCGACGCCGCGUGAGGGAUGACGGCCUUCGGGUUGUAAACCUCUUUCAGCAGGGACGAAGCGAAAGUGACGGUACCUGUAGAAGAAGGACCGGCCAACUACGUGCCAGCAGCCGCGGUAAUACGUAGGGUCCGAGCGUUGUCCGGAAUUACUGGGCGUAAAGAGCUCGUAGGUGGUUUGUCGCGUUGUUCGUGAAAACUCACAGCUCAACUGUGGGCGUGCGGGCGAUACGGGCAGACUUGAGUACUGCAGGGGAGACUGGAAUUCCUGGUGUAGCGGUGGAAUGCGCAGAUAUCAGGAGGAACACCGGUGGCGAAGGCGGGUCUCUGGGCAGUAACUGACGCUGAGGAGCGAAAGCGUGGGGAGCGAACAGGAUUAGAUACCCUGGUAGUCCACGCCGUAAACGGUGGGUACUAGGUGUGGGUUUCCUUCCUUGGGAUCCGUGCCGUAGCUAACGCAUUAAGUACCCCGCCUGGGGAGUACGGCCGCAAGGCUAAAACUCAAAGAAAUUGACGGGGGCCCGCACAAGCGGCGGAGCAUGUGGAUUAAUUCGAUGCAACGCGAAGAACCUUACCUGGGUUUGACAUGCACAGGACGUGCCUAGAGAUAGGUAUUCCCUUGUGG